rfam:Loxodonta africana unplaced genomic scaffold scaffold_1, whole genome shotgun sequence.
GGCACCGUAGUUAAGUGUUUGGCUGCAAACCAAAAGGUUGGUGGUUCGAAUCCAUUAGCUGCUU